rnacentral:rRNA from 1 species
UACGGGGGGGGGCAAGCGUUGUUCGGAAUUACUGGGCGUAAAGGGCUCGUAGGCGGCCAACUAAGUCAGACGUGAAAUCCCUCGGCUUAACCGGGGAACUGCAUCUGAUACUGGAUGGCUUGAGUUCGGGAGAGGGAUGCGGAAUUCCAGGUGUAGCGGUGAAAUGCGUAGAUAUCUGGAGGAACACCGGUGGCGAAGGCGGCAUCCUGGACCGGCACUGACGCUGAGGAGCGAAAGCCAGGGGA